rnacentral:rRNA from 1 species
AUUGAACGCUGGCGGCAGGCUUAACACAUGCAAGUCGAGCGGGGUGAUGGUGCUUGCACUAUCACUUAGCGGCGGACGGGUGAGUAAUGCUUAGGAAUCUGCCUAUUAGUGGGGGACAACAUCUCGAAAGGGAUGCUAAUACCGCAUACGUCCUACGGGAGAAAGCAGGGGAUCACUUGUGACCUUGCGCUAAUAGAUGAGCCUAAGUCGGAUUAGCUAGUUGGUGGGGUAAAGGCCUACCAAGGCGACGAUCUGUAGCGGGUCUGAGAGGAUGAUCCGCCACACUGGGACUGAGACACGGCCCAGACUCCUACGGGAGGCAGCAGUGGGGAAAAUUGGACAAUGGGGGGAACCCUGAUCCAGCCAUGCCGCGUGUGUGAAGAAGGCCUUAUGGUUGUAAAGCACUUUAAGCGAGGAGGAGGCUCUUUUGGUUAAUGCCCAAGAUGAGUGGACGUUACUCGCAGAAUAAGCACCGGCUAACUCUGUGCCAGCCGCCGCGGUAA